rnacentral:rRNA from 1 species
GAUGAACGCUGGCGGCGUGCUUAACACAUGCAAGUCAAGGGGGCUCCGCAAGGGGCAACCGGCGAACGGGUGCGUAACACGUGAGCAACCUGCCUUUGAGAGGGGGAUAGCCGGCCCAACGGCCGGGUAAUACCGCAUACGUUCUUCUGGUGGCAUCACCGGGGGAAGAAACGCUUGACGGCUCAAAGAGGGGCUCGCGGCCUAUCAGCUAGUUGGUGAGGUCACGGCUUACCAAGGCGACGACGGGUAGCUGGUCUGAGAGGAUGGCCAGCCACAUUGGGACUGAGAAACGGCCCAGACUCCUACGGGAGGCAGCAGUGGGGAAUCUUGCGCAAUGGCCGAGAGGCUGACGCAGCGACGCCGCGUGGGGGAUGAAGCAUUUCGGUGUGUAAACCCCAGUUGCUCGGGACGAACGACCC